AGCUUGGAAUCCAUUAAAAUACAUUUUGCUCUAUUACACCCCAUGCCUGUAAUCUCACAUCUUGAAGACAGAGGCAGGAUGACUAUAAUUUUGAGGCCAGCCUGGGCUACACAGUGAAUGCUUUCGAAAAUGUGGUGUCUCGGUGUCUGCUGUUUCUGUUAAUCCUGAAGAUGCUCACCCGUGAGACUGAAUCAGAAGCCUGUCCCUGCCCUCACUCAGAGGAUGAGUCACACGGUGUGGGCGAGGUUUGGAGAUGGAAGCCAGCUCUGCUCUCUCCGUUGGUAACCAAGGCAAAGGCAUCUUGCUGAGAGAAUGCUUGCAAGUGCAUAGAAAGCUAAUCCCACGGUCAGGCCUGUGAAUGUUGGUUACCACUGUUGGCUAUCCUUUGCUUAAGUUUAAGUCACGGCAUCUUCAGAAUCACAUAGUUCCAAGAUACCAAGGUACUCUGUCUUCUGGUCCACAUUCCUUUGUCAUUGAACAAUUGCAUACACUGAACAGGCUUUGGGUAAAUGAGGGAAGGACAGGGGACCAAGAGAGAAUUUGAGUGCUUGGGAAAUAGCAUUGAACAGUAAGUCAGAAGGUGAGGAGGCCUCUAGAGGUGUACCUUUAAAUUCCAGAUUUGUGUUUCACUGUGUAGGUUUUGGCAGGUUGUCAAAGGCAUUUGAGUUUCCCUCAUUUCCAAUAUACCUUAAAGUGUCUCUUUCAUGGAAAACACCUAGCACAGAGUAUCCGGGUUGCUCUCAGUGAUUGGCAAGUGACAUCUUUUUCUACUAUGUUAAAUGCUCACC
rnacentral:lncRNA from 1 species